GGGUGCCCAGGCGCGAAACCUUUGCAAUACACGAAAGUGUGACAGGGUCAUCCCGAGUGCCGACCGCUGAGGUUGGCUUUUACCCAGUCUAGAAAGCUGGGGGAAUAAGGAGAGGGCAAGUCUGGUGUCAGCCGCCGCGGUAAUACCAGCUCUCCGAGUGGUGUGGACGUUUAUUGGGCCUAAAGCAUCCGUAGCUGGCUGAACAAGUCCCCUGUUAAACCCACCGAUUUAAUCGUUGGCUUGCGGGGGAUACUGCUCGGCUAGGGGACGAGAGAGGCAGACGGUAUUCCCGGGGUAGGGGUGAAAUCCUAUAAUCCCGAGAAGACCACCAGUGGCGAAGGCUGUCUGCUAGAACGCGCCCGACGGUGAGGGAUGAAAGCUGGGGGAGCGAACCGGAUUAGAUACCCGGGUAGUCCCAGCUGUAAACGAUGCAGACUAGGUGUUUGGACGGCCACGUGCCGUUCUAGUGCCGCAGGGAAGCUGUUAAGUCUGCCGCCUGGGGAGUACGAUCGCAAGAUUGAAACUUAAAGGAAUUGGCGGGGGAGCAC
rnacentral:rRNA from 1 species